UACGGGGGAGCAAGCGUUGUUCGGAUUUACUGGGCGUAAAGGGCGCGUAGGCGGCCAGCACAAGUCAGUUGUGAAAUCUCCGAGCUUAACUCGGAAAGGUCAACUGAUACUGUGCGGCUAGAGUGCGGAAGGGGCAACUGGAAUUCUUGGUGUAGCGGUGAAAUGCGUAGAUAAUCAAGAGGAACACCUGCGGCGAAGGCGGGUUGCUGGGCCGACACUGACGCUGAUGCGCGAAAGCUAGGGGAGCGAACGGG
rnacentral:rRNA from 1 species